rnacentral:rRNA from 1 species
UAAUACGUAGGUGGCAAGCGUUAUCCGGAUUUAUUGGGCGUAAAGCGAGCGCAGGCGGUUUGAUAAGUCUGAUGUGAAAGCCUUUGGCUUAACCAAAGAAGUGCAUCGGAAACUGUCAGACUUGAGUGCAGAAGAGGGCAGUGGAACUCCAUGUGUAGCGGUGGAAUGCGUAGAUAUAUGGAAGAACACCAGUGGCGAAGGCGGCUGCCUGGUCUGCAACUGACGCUGAGGCUCGAAAGCAUGGGUAGCGAACAGGAUUAGAUACCCUGGUAGUCCAUGCCGUAAACGAUGAGUGCUAGGUGUUGGAGGGUUUCCGCCCUUCAGUGCCGCAGCUAACGCAUUAAGCACUCCGCCUGGGGAGUACGACCGCAAGGUUGAAACUCAAAGGAAUUGACGGGGGCCCGCACAAGCGGUGGAGCAUGUGGUUUAAUUCGAAGCUACGCGAAGAACCUUACCAGGUCUUGACAUCUUGCGCCAACCCUAGAGAUAGGGCG